rnacentral:rRNA from 1 species
CGAAGGUCCCAAGCGUUAUCCGGAUUUAUUGGGUUUAAAGGGUGCGUAGGCGGGCUAUUAAGUCAGUGGUGAAAGCCCCAAGCUUAACUUGGGAACUGCCAUUGAUACUGAUGGUCUUGAGUACAUUUGAGGUGGGCGGAAUGUGUCAUGUAGCGGUGAAAUGCUUAGAUAUGACACAGAACACCGAUUGCGAAGGCAGCACACUAAACUGUAACUGACGCUGAGGCACGAAAGCGUGGGGAGCAAACAGGAUUAGAUACCCUGGUAGUCCACGCCCUAAACGAUGAUCACUCGAUGUGUGCGAUAUACUGUACGCGUCUGAGCGAAAGCAUUAAGUGAUCCACCUGGGGAGUACGACCGCAAGGUUG